rnacentral:rRNA from 1 species
CCUACGGGAGACAGCAGUGAGGAAUAUUGGUCAAUGGGCGGAAGCCUGAACCAGCCAAGUAGCGUGCAGGAUGACGGCCCUACGGGUUGUAAACUGCUUUUAUACGGGAAUAACGCGCCUUACGUGUAGGGCUUUGCAUGUACCGUAUGAAUAAGGAUCGGCUAAUUCCGUGCCAGCAGCCGCGGUAAUACGGAAGGUCCGGGCGUUAUCCGGAUUUAUUGGGUUUAAAGGGAGCGUAGGCCGCAUUUCAAGCGCGAUGUGAAAUUGUGGGGCUCAACCCGGGCCUUGCAGCGGAAACUGGCUUGCUUGAGUGCGCGGAAGGCAGGCGGAAUUCGUCGUGUAGCGGUGAAAUGCUUAGAUAUGACGAAGAACCCCGAUUGCGAAGGCAGCUUGCUGGAGCGGAACUGACGCUGAUGCUCGAAAGCGCGGGUAUCGAACAGGAUUAGAUACCCGGGUAGUC